GUCCACUUCCCUUCACAGGGAGAGGCCUCGGUGCCUGGUGGGGCAGCUUCCCCGCACUCCUGUGAAGAUGUGGCUCUGAACUCGGAGGGGGAUGCGCUGCGUCACAGGAGCACUCACCUGCCAUAGAAUGGGACACUAUUUGGAGAAUCACAAAACCUAUCCCCUGCAAUUACCUACCUGUUGCAGGAUGCCACAAGCAGACAAAAGAGAGC
rnacentral:lncRNA from 1 species